ACAACUGCCCUUUUCAGGGCCACAAUUGAUUAAAUAAUUAAUUUAGU
rfam:Aedes aegypti strain Liverpool supercont1.227 genomic scaffold, whole genome shotgun sequence.